rnacentral:rRNA from 1 species
UUCGCAAUGCCCGAAAGGGUGACGAAGCGACGCCGCGUGCGGGAAGAGGGCCUUCGGGUUGUAAACCGCUGUCGGGAGUUAAGAAAUGCAGAGAUGUUAAUAGCGUCUUUGCUUGACUAAGGCUCCGGAGGAAGCCACGGCUAACUCUGUGCCAGCAGCCGCGGUAAUACAGAGGCGGCAAGCGUUGUUCGGAAUUAUUGGGCGUAAAGAGCACGUAGGCGGCUAUGUAAGUCGGUUGUGAAAGCCUUCCGCUCAACGGGAGAACAGCAUCCGAUACUGCAUGGCUUGAGUGUGGGAGGGGAGAGUGGAACUUCUGGUGGAGCGGUGAAAUGCGUAGAUAUCAGAAGGAACGCCGGCGGCGAAAGCGGCUCUCUGGCCCAUAACUGACGCUGAGUGUGCGAAAGCUAGGGGAGCAAACGGGAUUAGAUACCCCGGUAGUCCUAGCCGUAAACGAUGGGCACUAAGUAGAGGGGUUUU